rnacentral:lncRNA from 1 species
ACCUCCUCCAUCUUGCUCUCGCCGGCAUCAUCCUCCAGAGGGGGCAUGUCGGUCUCAGCCUCAGUGGUCUCAUCCUCGUCAAUGCUCAGGCCAAGCUUGAGCAUGCGGUGGAUGCGGCUGCCAAAGGUGUUGGGCUCGUCAAGGCUGAAGCCGGAAGUGAGGAGCGCAGUCUCAAACAGCAGCAUGACAAGGUCCUUAACAGACUUGUCGUUCUUGUCAGCCUCAGCACGCUUGCGGAGCUCCUCCAUGAUGGCGUUCUCAGGGUUGAUCUCCAUGGUCUUCU